UACGUAGGGUGCAGGCGUUAAUCGGAAUUACUGGGCGUAAAGCGUGCGCAGGCGGUUUCUUAAGUCAGAUGUGAAAGCCCCGGGCUUAACCUGGGAACUGCGUUUGAAACUGGGAGACUUGAGUGUGGCAGAGGGGGGUGGAAUUCCACGUGUAGCAGUGAAAUGCGUAGAUAUGUGGAGGAACACCGACGGCGAAGGCAGCCCCCUGGGUUAACACUGACGCUCAUGCACGAAAGCGUGGGGAGCAAACAGG
rnacentral:rRNA from 1 species